UGACGGAUAAACAGAUAGAUUGAGUAGUUCUUAAAAAAAAACUUAGUAAACUGACCAAUAGAAGUUGGUGAUCUCGAAGAAACAAACAAAUAAAUAAAUGGAAUGUGAAACCAGACAAUGGAGCACGGUGCUCCCGGUAAGUAAUCACACAUCUCCACAGUCUGUCUAUACUGUUGUGUGCAUAGUUGUUUGACUUUGAGAGGGCGGGACUCUUUGGAGAGCGAAAUGAACUAGGCGCGGCCAAAAGGAGCCCCAUCCAUCUAUCACACGUGUAGACAAAGGGGGACUCCACAACACAAAGCUAGAUGCGUCCUCUCAAACUUUUUCCACGACGCACGGCGACGCGCGCACUGCAAAACACCCGCAGGUGGAUUUUAACACCAGAUUAACCAGCGAAGCAUUUCUCUCCUGUUGGAGGUUAAGCAAAGAGAAAUAUGAGGAAAUCACAUGGAAGAUGUACAGAGUCACCUAUCAAGCGGCUUUUAAGAGGAGGAUUAAGAGACUGUGCAGUUUUCUUUCGGAAAAGGUGAAGACUCAUCUCGUGAGGAUUUAAACUUCAGGAGCAGCAGUGCCAGGCGGGAUGCAUUUUAGGCACACUUGGAAAUCUGAAACUCACUUUGAGGAUUAUAAAAAUGUGUGGUGUGUGUCUCUCCACAAGACAACGUCCCGGCCCAAAAUCACUGGGAUAGCAGGAUACUGCAUUUCUGAUCCUCCUCGGCCCUCUGCAUGGGGAGUGUGGGAGUGGUGAGGUCUGGGAGAUCACGACCUUAAUUCUCUCCAAGACAGACGGUUUAAUUAACACUGGAGGAAUCCUCACUGGAUCCAGACCUCUACAAUGGGAAUGUACUGGGGAAUUGGAUUGCCCAGGUCCUCUUGGCCAUUUACUGUGAAGCUGACAGACGAUGCCCAUGAAUGAUGAAUGAUGACUGGAGGUCUGUCUGGUGCCAACAGAAUGCAUAAUACAGCAUAGAUACAGCGAUUCCAGUCCUCGGCACCAGACACAUGGUGCAGUUACUGUAUCAUGUCAUUGGCAGAUCUGCUCUGGGCAGAAAAGUGUGACCACUUAAAGUGGAAAUCCACCGAAAGCGGCAUUCAUGCAUGUUUUCCCCACCUAGAAUCCUAAAUGAAGCAGUAAAGUACAUGAACUCUGGUUAAGUGUGAUUAUCUUGAGAAAGGGCGUCUUGAGUUAUUUCAUUUCUAAUAAGGAUUAAAGACUCAUGUCUAAUUUAAUGGUAGAUUUUGUAGAUCUGUAAGUAGGAAGUAGUCCAACAACAGCUUUUAAAUAGGAAUAUGGCAAUAAUUAAGUGUACGAGUAGACAUGGCAGACCGUAUACAGUGUGUAUAGUUGUGAAGAUGUAUGCAUAAUAUGUAGUAAUAAUGUAAUAUUUGACAUAUAUAAAAUUAUAAUAAUGUGAGUGUGUUUUCCUGUCUCUUUUUGGCCAUAAAGGAAAAACUUUGACCGUGAAUAAAAACCUUAUUUACAAUUCAGUUGCUAAAUAUGAGGCUUAAAUGAAAGUGAAUUAUCCCAAUAAUAUUCCAAGGUACUUGUAUUAAGAUGCAGAUUUAAUUUCAGAGCCCUGAGUAGUGGUUUAAAAUCACUUAAAAACAUCAUAAGUUUUAUUUUGUCAGCAUUCAAAACAAGUUUUAAAUCACAGGGUGCAAUUUCCUGUGUUGAAAUUGAGGAGUCUAGUGUGGUGUACACACAGUGCAGUAUAUCAGAGUAUAAUCAGUGCUAAGGUGGAUAUCUGCAUUGGAAACAUUUUGAUAGAGACUGUUGAUAAGGAUACACUAAAGGAAGUGACAACUGAGAUCUGCCAACAGAUCAUUUUCAAUAUUGCAUGAUCCAUAAAGUAUCAACAGCCUUAGAUAUGUCAAUAAAAAGUGCUGUACUGUGUUGCUUGUUAUCUAAAU